UACGGAAGCUAUGCACGAACUCGGACGCACGAGAUAAGUGACUUCUGACUCACUUAUUAGUAUGUGUAGGGAAUUAUUUAAUAAUUACGAAUGUGAGGAAUUCUUGUAUGACUAAGUAAUAACUGGAAUUACUAAAGUAGGAAUGAUUGUUUGUAACACCCCAAAUUUCGUAUGUCAUAAUAUAAUGUUAUAGUCGCUAUGUUUUGACAAAAAGAAAUGGUAAAUAUAGUAACACCCCAAAAUUUUAUAAGCCAUAACAUAAUAUUUUAAUUUUGAUGCAUUAGUAAAAGAAAAUGGUAAAUGCAAAUUUUACCAUAUGAAAGUUAAAUAAGAGUAAGUAACCUAGUCAAUAGUUGGGCAAUAAAGUGCCAUGUUUUAAAAGCAUUAGGGGUUGAAAGAGUAACUAGAGAAUGAAUUGUUAUAACAAAAACAAUUUGGCAGUAUGUGUGGGGAAGUGGGUGUCGACCUGGAGGAGAAGAAAGGAGAAAAUCCUCCAUGGAUGUAUAAUCCCAAAAUGCAGCCUAUUGACAAUGAAGAACUGACUAAAAUCCCUGCAUGUUCAUGAAUUCUUGUUCAUCCAAACAUACUAAAGUAUAGGGCAUGAAGGAAGAAGGUGCAAGUCAAACCGGUACGCAAGCAACGCAAAACAAAGGUAAAUAGUCCUUUGGAGCAAAAUCUUGAACCAGAGGAACGAACACACGUCGCGCCAUUUAAUUGCUUCCGCUCGUCAAGUUCUUUAAAGGGUGGUAGUAUCCUUUGGUUAAUGGAUGUUUUUAUUAUGAUGUAAUGGUUACAACUUUUAUGUCUUUUGGAAACGUGUCGUAGAAAGUUCUAAAUGUAGAAUUUAGUUUGAAUGGUGAUUUUUUUAAA